rnacentral:misc_RNA from 1 species
GAUGAAGAACGCAGCGAAAUGCGAUAAGUAAUGUGAAUUGCAGAAUUCAGUGAAUCAUCGAAUCUUUGAACGCACAUUGCGCCCGCCAGUAUUCUGGCGGGCAUGCCUGUUCGAGCGUCAUUACAACCCUCAGGCCCCCGGGCCGGGCGUUGGGGAUCGGCGGAGCCCCCCGUGGGCACACGCCGUCCCCCAAAUGCAGUGGCGGUCCCGCCGCAGCUUCCAUCGCGUAGUAGCUAACACCUCGCGACUGGAGAGCGGCGCGGCCACGCCGUAAAACACCCAACUCUUCUGAAGUUGACCUCGAAUCAGGUAGGAAUACCCGCUGAACUUAAGCAUAUCAAUAAGCGGAGGA